rnacentral:rRNA from 1 species
UCCAGGCCCUACGGGGUGCAGCAGGCGCGAAACCUUUACAAUGCACGCAAGUGUGAUAAGGGGAUCCUAAGUGCUCAUGCAUUGCAUGGGCUUUUGUCAAGAGUAAAUAUCUUGAUGAAUAAGUGGUGGGUAAGACUGGUGCCAGCCGCCGCGGUAACACCAGCGCCACGAGUGGCAACCACGUUUAUUGGGCCUAAAGCGUCCGUAGCCGGUUCAGUAAAUCUCUUGUGAAAUCGUCAAGCUCAACUUGACGGCGCGCUUGAGACACUGCUGUACUUGAGACCGGGAGGAGUCAGAGGUAUUCCAGGGGGAGCGGUAAAAUGUGAUAAUCCCUGGAGGAUCACCUAUGGCGAAGGCAUCUGACCAGAACGGAUCUGACGGUGAGGGACGAAGGCUAGGGGAGCGAUCCGGAUUAGAUACCCGAGUAGUCCUAGCAGUAAACGCUGCGAGCUAGAUGUUGCAAAUCUUAAGAGGAUUUGCAGUGUCGACAGGAAGCUAUUAAGCUCGCCGCCUGGGAAGUACGGUCGCAAGACUGAAACUUUAAGGAAUUGGCGGGGGAGCACCACAAGGGGUGCGGCGUGCGGUUUAAUCUAACUCAACGCAGAGGACCUUACUAGAAGCGACGGCAGGAAGAAGAUCAGUCUGAAGGGCUUAUCUGACGAGCCGAGAGGUAGUGCAUGGCCGCCGUCAGCUCGUGCCGUAAGGUGUCCAGUUAAGUCUGGCAACGAGCGAGACCUAUACUCUCUAUUGCUAACAGCCACAUGUGGGACUGAGCACUUUGAGAGGACUGCCUUGGAAACAAGGAGGAAGGUGUAGGCAACGGUAGGUCUGUAUGCUCCGAAUCUUCUAGGCUACACGCGCGCAACAAUGGUAGUGACAAUGGGCUGCGACUCCGAAAGGAGGAGCUAAUCCUCGAAACACUACCUCAGUUCGGAUUGCGGGUUGAAACUCACCCGCAUGACGCCGGAAUCCCUAGUAAUUGGACGUCAUCAUCGUCCAGGGAAUAUGUCCCUACUCCUUGCACACACCGCCCGUC